GAUGAACGCUGGCGGCGUGCCUAAUACAUGCAAGUCGAGCGAACAGACGAGGAGCUUGCUCCUCUGACGUUAGCGGCGGACGAGUGAGUAACACGUGGAUAACCUACCUAUAAGACUGGGAUAACUUCGGGAAACCGGAGCUAAUACCGGAUAAUAUAUUGAACCGCAUGGUUCAAUAGUGAAAGACGGUUUUGCUGUCACUUAUAGAUGGAUCCGCGCCGCAUUAGCUAGUUGGUAAGGUAACGGCUUACCAAGGCAACGAUGCGUAGCCGACCUGAGAGGGUGAUCGGCCACACUGGAACUGAGACACGGUCCAGACUCCUACGGGAGGCAGCAGUAGGGAAUCUUCCGCAAUGGGAGAAAGCCUGACGGAGCAACGCCGCGUGAGUGAUGAAGGUCUUCGGAUCGUAAAACUCUGUUAUUAGGGAAGAACAAAUGUGUAAGUAACUAUGCACGUCUUGACGGUACCUAAUCAGAAAGCCACGGCUAACUACGUG
rnacentral:rRNA from 1 species